GAUGAACGCUGGCGGCGUGCCUAAUACAUGCAAGUCGAGCGAACAGACGAGGAGCUUGCUCCUCUGACGUUAGCGGCGGACGGGUGAGUAACACGUGGAUAACCUACCUAUAAGACUGGGAUAACUUCGGGAAACCGGAGCUAAUACCGGAUAAUAUAUUGAACCGCAUGGUUCAAUAGUGAAAGACGGUUUUGCUGCCACUUAUAGAUGGAUCCGCGCCGCAUUAGCUAGUUGGUAAGGUAACGGCUUACCAAGGCGACGAUGCGUAGCCGACCUGAGAGGGUGAUCGGCCACACUGGAACUGAGACACGGUCCCGACUCCUACGGGAGGCAGCAGUAGGGAAUCUUCCGCAAUGGGCGAAAGCCUAACGGAGCAACGCCGCGUGAGUGAUGAAGGUCUUCGGAUCGUAAAACUCUGUUAUUAGGGAAGAACAAAUGUGUAAGUACCUAUGCACGUCUUGACGGUACCUAAUCAGAAAGCCACGGCUAACUCCGUG
rnacentral:rRNA from 1 species